rnacentral:rRNA from 1 species
UGGCUCAGGAUGAACGCUGGCGGCGUGCCUAAUACAUGCAAGUCGAGCGAACAGACGAGGAGCUUGCUCCUCUGACGUUAGCGGCGGACGGGUGAGUAACACGUGGAUAACCUACCUAUAAGACUGGGAUAACUUCGGGAAACCGGAGCUAAUACCGGAUAAUAUAUUGAACCGCAUGGUUCAAUAGUGAAAGACGGUUUUGCUGUCACUUAUAGAUGGAUCCGCGCCGCAUUAGCUAGUUGGUAAGGUAACGGCUUACCAAGGCAACGAUGCGUAGCCGACCUGAGAGGGUGAUCGGCCACACUGGAACUGAGACACGGUCCAGACUCCUACGGGAGGCAGCAGUAGGGAAUCUUCCGCAAUGGGCGAAAGCCUGACGGAGCAACGCCGCGUGAGUGAUGAAGGUCUUCGGAUCGUAAAACUCUGUUAUUAGGGAAGAACAAAUGUGUAAGUAACUAUGCACGUCUUGACGGUACCUAAUCAGAAAGCCACGGCUAACUACGUG